GGCCGAACAAGGCCACCGGCGAAACCUCUAGUCGGCGAACACCGAGGUAGAACUGUGAAGGUGAAACACGCACAAGCAGAUUGCUCCCUGCCGGUCGAAGCACGCCGGACCGCAGCAUUGUAGAUCUUCGCCGCCCUCACAAACGGCCAAGCAUGGUCGUCAAAACACUCCAAGAAUGAAGUAUGCCCAACGACUGUAGCCUGAGCGUCAUCGCAUUUGGAUAGCAGCCGAAUCUGGAGGGCCUCACCUAUUGAGCAUCCCGCCCUUCCCCAGACUUGUACGUCCCCGACCAACGACGACUGCUAAAAGCCUUUCUGGUUUUGGUCCCAAGCAGCGGUUGCAGGCCUUUGCUCGAUCCCUACAGUUGCAGGAACACAGUGCUCCACCGUCGCUCCUCUUGGUCUCUGCCGCGAUUCUGACUCCGACCUUUACUGAUGGACUGACUAACAGAUCCUACCCCUCCGACGAUGACAUCCCGAGGAUGUGCCGCCGGAAGGAAGGAGGAAGAGUGAAGCACGAACCGCUCGCAAACUGUUUUCGUCUCUCCAGAAAACUCGGAGCAAAAGAAGUAGUUUAGGAAAAAUGGGUCUUACUCGUGGA
rnacentral:lncRNA from 1 species